UUCCAUCAGUGGUAUUCCUAGGACUUUUAAACUUAGUAUACAUCCAUAGGUAAUGGCUGCAAGUGAGAAUCUACUUUUUGAAACAAGUCGAAAAAAAGCAUUUGUCUACAAAAGAACAUCAGAUACUGCACUUUUUACAAAUUGAAAGUUUGUGGCAAGCCUGCAUCGAGAAAGUCCAUUGAUGCCACUUUUUUCAAACAGCCUUUCUAUUGCUUGAGACACAACAAUAUUGAAAUUAGGCAAAUUGAUAGCCCUACAAUGGCCUCUAAGUGUUCACGUGAAAAGAAGAGUCACAGACCUCUCAUUUGAAAUUCAUGUUGUUUUCAUGCCUGCUAACACAACAUCCAUUCUGCAGCGCAUGGAUCAAGGGACAGAGGAUCUGGGUGAAGAGGGACUGAGACACAGGUGUCCUAAAGCAGAGGACAACAGUGUAGAAAGAGGACAUGCAAGUUGAGGGCAACAGCAACAGAGGACCUGUGCCAUCUGAAGGCACGCCUAACAGCAGAGAAACAUCAACUCACCUGAAAGGAAAGCAAUGGACAGUUGCAUUAAUGAAAUUGGAUCACGCUUUCUGCUUGUUAUUAAAUUUUACUUUCUGAUAGUUAAGGAAUGCUUGUAACUGAGGAAGUACCGACUUUUCUGGAAGGCAUAUUUCCAGAUUUAUUGUGAGAAGAGUUAGAACCACAAAAAACAUGAUAGCAAAAAAGGUAACUCACCAUGUCUUUUGGGCUUCGGGUACCCCAGCCUG